rnacentral:piRNA from 1 species
UCGAUUCUUCUUCAGGUCAGUGCGGGCA